rnacentral:rRNA from 1 species
UACGUAGGGUGCGAGCGUUAAUCGGAAUUACUGGGCGUAAAGCGUGCGCAGGCGGUUUUGUAAGCCAGAUGUGAAAGCCCCGGGCUUAACCUGGGAAUGGCAUUUGGGACUGCAAGGCUGGAGUGUGGCAGAGGAGACUGGAAUUCCUGGUGUAGCAGUGAAAUGCGUAGAGAUCAUGAGGAAGACCAGUGGCGAAGGCGGGUCUCUGGACAGUUCCUGACACUGAGACACGAAGGCCAGGGGAGCAAACGGG